rnacentral:rRNA from 1 species
CCUACGGGAGGCAGCAGUGGGGAAUAUUGCACAAUGGGGGAAACCCUGAUGCAGCGACGCCGCGUGAGUGAAGAAGUAAUUCGUUAUGUAAAGCUCUAUCAGCAGGGAAGAAAAUGACGGUACCUGAGUAAGAAGCCCCGGCUAACUACGUGCCAGCAGCCGCGGUACUACGUAGGGGGCAAGCGUUAUCCGGAUUUACUGGGUGUAAAGGGAGCGUAGACGGCAGUGCAAGUCUGGAGUGAAAGGCGGGGGCUAAACCCCCGGACUGCUCUGGAAACUGUACGGCUGGAGUGCAGGAGAGGUAAGUGGAAUUCCUAGUGGAGCGGUGAAAUGCGUAGAUAUUAGGAGGAACACCAGUGGCGAAGGCGGCUUACUGGACUGUAACUGACGUUGAGGCUCGAAAGCGUGGGGAGCAAACAGGAUUAGAUACCCUUGUAGUC